GACGAACGCUGGCGGCGUGCUUAACACAUGCAAGUCGUACGGUAAGGCCCUUUCGGGGGUACGCGAGUGGCGAACGGGUGAGUAACACGUGCGUAACCUGCCCACAACUUUGGGAUAACGCUAGGAAACUGGUGCUAAUACUGGAUAUGUGCUCCUGCUGCAUGGUGGGGGUUGGAAAGCUCCGGCGGUUGUGGAUGGACUCGCGGCCUAUCAGCUUGUUGGUGGGGUAGUGGCCUACCAAGGCGGCGACGGGUAGCCGGCCUGAGAGGGUGACCGGCCACAUUGGGACUUAGAUACGGCCCAGACUCCGACGGGAGGCAGCAGUGGGGAAUAUUGCACAAGGGGCGCAAGCCUGAUGCAGCAACGCCGCGGGCGGGAUGACGGCCUUCGGGUUGUAAACCGCUUUCAGCAGGGACGAAGCUUUUUGUGACGGUACCUGCAGAAGAAGCACCGGCUAACUACGUG
rnacentral:rRNA from 1 species